AAUAGAUACCCAGGUAGUCCACGCCGUAAACGAUGAGUGCUAAGUGUUAGAGGGUUUCCGCCCUUUAGUGCUGCAGCUAACGCAUUAAGCACUCCGCCUGGGGAGUACGGCCGCAAGGCUGAAACUCAAAGGAAUUGACGGGGGCCCGCACAAGCGGUGGAGCAUGUGGUUUAAUUCGAAGCAACGCGAAGAACCUUACCAGGUCUUGACAUCCUCUGACCCUCCUAGAGAUAGGACUUUCCCCUUCGGGGGACAGAGUGACAGGUGGUGCAUGGUUGUCGUCAGCUCGUGUCGUGAGAUGUUGGGUUAAGUCCCGCAACGAGCGCAACCCUUGAUCUUAGUUGCCAGCAUUCAGUUGGGCACUCUAAGGUGACUGCCGGUGACAAACCGGAGGAAGGUGGGGAUGACGUCAAAUCAUCAUGCCCCUUAUGACCUGGGCUACACACGUGCUACAAUGGGUGGUACAAAGGGCAGCGAAAUCGCGAGAUUGAGCUAAUCCCAUAAAACCACUCUCAGUUCGGAUUGCG
rnacentral:rRNA from 1 species